GGUAAACGCUGGCGGCGUGCCUAACACAUGCAAGUCGAACGCCCUACGCAAGUAGGGAGUGGCGGACGGGUGAGGAACACGUGGGUUAUCUGCCUUGAGGUGAGGAAUACCGGCGAGAAAUCGCCGACAAUACCGCAUACGUUCGUAAGAACAAAGUCGCAAGACGCCCCAAGAUGAGCCUGCGUCCGAUUAGCUAGUUGGUGGGGUAAAAGACCUACCAAGGCAGCGAUCGGUAGCGGUCUGAGAGGACGAUCAGCCA
rnacentral:rRNA from 1 species